AAGUUACCGAUACAUUGAUACCUAAUUAUUUGUCGACCUGUCAGAUUGUUUUGUUUUAUUGCUUGUUUUGAUAGUUCUUUUUCGAGUCUAUCAUAGUUGGUCGAUUAAUCGAUAACUAAUUUAUCUUUUAAAUCUAAGUAACACAUAGAAAUAAGAGUCUUUCCCGUGAUAAAAAUCGUCGUUCGUCGUAAUGUAGCUAAAUAGUACCUUCAAGGUUUGGGACAUUUUAAGCAAUUCUUCAACGUUGGAUAUUGCUCCGAAUAGAACAAACGGUCUUUUCACCAAUAUAACCUGCAUGGCAAUCGAUCGAGACAAUCAGCUGUUUGUUACUGUGGGCGAAACAGGCACUCGAUUCCCGUUGUCAUGAUUUCACUCUCAAAAACGCAAGAUUAAUAUGUUCAGCAAAGUGUUCAGUUCCUAGUUCACUUUUUCCAGCAACGGCUACAGUGACUUUUGGUUUUUGUGUUCGUUUUUUUGUGUAUACUGGUAAAACCAUUAUGUAGAAUAUCAGAUAUCUGUGUAAUAUCUGUAUUAUACUAAAUGUCUGUAUAAAAUCUGUACACACUUAUCCUCGUUUUGAUUGUUCAGUAAUUUUUAUUACGGUCACGCUCAGUAAAUUUGAAAAAAUACUGAUCAUUUUGUAAUUUCCUCGAAAAUAACUGAUGUCGGUUAAAAUUUUUACCGGAUUACCGUUAUACAAAAGGUACUUGACGAGCUCAGCAAAAAUAUCACUGACCUUUUCUGUAAACUAAAAUAUGUUCUGCACUUUCAUAAAGUUCGGUAAAUAUUUGACGAUCUGUCAGCACCUACCUAGGUGUUGCUGAAAACAUUUCAAUUGUUUUACUGAUUUUUUGUUGUUUUUUACUAUACUGUUCGGCAAUUUUUCUGCAUCUGUCAAAACGAAACAUCAAAAGUCCGCCAUUUUCAAAUAUUCAAAGAGUUUCGAAGCUGCGUUUUAAAAGUGUUCCGCGUGUAAUUUUCAAAUAAAAUAAAAAUGGAUAUCGUACUAUCUAAUCUACAAGAAGACGACGUGGAGGUACACGAUCUAUUCAGUAAGUUAUUAUUUAUUAAAUAUGUACGUUUUUGUGUAUUUUAGUUAAAUGAUUUGGCUAUUGAUGCCAUUGCUUGCUUUUUUUGUGGUAGAAAAGUAAGCGGCUAUGUAGAAGAACUUGGGCGUCAUGUAUCAUGGCACAUCCGCAACAAUGAUUUCACCCCAGAUUCUAUCUAUUACGAUUGUACUUAUCCCAUGUGUACCAUGCGAUACCAUCAUUUCACUUCUUUAAAACGACGUAUAACUGAGAAACACAGAAGAUCAAUAAGUACAAAAACUCUUUCUGCCGACGUUUCGUCACAACAUUUUUAUGAAAUGCCAGUAUAUCAGGCUGAAGAAAUUCAUGACGAUGAAUUUGAAGACGACGAUAAUAAAACCAUAGAAGAAAUAAUGCAAAUUAUUUCAGUCAGCAUAUGUCGUCUUGCUGCUGAUUCUGGACUUCCUCGGUGUAAAAUUAUGGAAGCUAUCAAUAUUUGCGAAAACGUCGUUAAUCACCUAACCACUUAUUUAGAGAAGUGUACUGUCUCGUUUCUUCAAUGUAACAAUGUCGAUUUGCGUAAUUCAACUACUUUGAGUUUCAUUAAUAAAUUUCGUUGUUUAAAUUUAUUCAAAAAUAUCAAAUCAAAAAUUUCGUAGCAGAAGUUUCUAAAAUCAUUGGUAGGAAAUUUACCACGACCAGUUGAAAAAUGUGUAGGAAGUCGAACUGUGGUGCGCCAUUCCAAUGGGAUCUCGAAGGCUGUUACAGUAAAUGACACCUUUGUAUACAUUCCUAUUAUAGAAACUCUGAAAAUGAUAUUCAGAAACCCUAAGACUCGCAACAUUCUGAGCGAGAAUCAUGACACAGAAACCACAUGCAUAAAAGAAUAUGGUUCAUUCGAACCGGGAGAGACUUUCGGAUCGUGUAUCUUUUUCAAACAGCACCCGAAUGCAAUCCGUUUAUCAAUAUACGAGGAUGACGUGGAAUUAGGGAAUGCAUUCAGCUCAAAAGCUGGAAAAAACAAAAUUUCCAAUUUUUGCUUUAAAAUCCAAAAUUUUCCAGAUAAAUGGAAUAGUACACCGAAAUCUAUUUUCCCGGUAAUUUAUGCACUGUCCAGCACAACAAAAAAGCAUGGAUUUAACAAAAUUAUGGAACCUUUAAUCGCAGAUUUGAAACAGCUGCAAACAGGCGUUGAUGUUUUUUACGGAAAUGAAAAAUUUCAACUGAGAGCUACAGUGACCAUAUUUUGUGGAGAUACGCUAGCGGCACACGAUAUAUUCGGAUUGCUAGGACCAAGUGCUACAUAUUUUUGUAGAAUUUGUACAAUUGAUCGACCCUCAUUUCAAAAAACUCCCACGACGAAGUUCCCACAUCGUACAAUUGAAUGGUAUGAUGCGAAUCUAUAUGCUGUACAAAAUGCUCUUAUUAAACCUGCUGAAUGUGGUCUGAAAUCAACUGGUAGUAUUUUAAACGAACUCGAAAACUUCCACGUUACAACCAAUUGGGCAUUGGAUGUCAUGCAUGAUCUUGGCGAAGGAAUAAUCCCACUGACUCUGCAAUUGGUGUUAGGCCGUUAUGUGAAGCAAAAAGUAGCUGGCUUAACUAAGGAUUAUAUAAAUCAUCGCAUUAGUACGUUUAAUUAUGGCUACGUAGACCGAAAAAAUCGCCCAUCAGCCAAUAUCAUAAAUGAUAUGCUUUUUAAACCCAACCAGCACAAAAUGAGGCAAACGGCAGCUCAGUAUUUUUUAUUCCUCAGAGCCUUUCCUUUUUUAUUUGGCCAUAAAGUUUCAUCGGAAUGUGAACUAAUGCAAAUGAUCGGCCAUUUAAUUAAUAUUAGCAGAAUUUUGUUAUCUCCAACAGUAUCCGAAGACAUGUUAAUAUGGUUAGAUGAACAUAUACGUAUUUAUAACGAUGUAUUCUACAAAAACUUUGAAAAACGCAUUAACAAAAGUCAUCAUCUAUUGCAUUAUGUUGAAUGUAUACGAAAAAGAAGAAGCAUGAAGCAGUAUAAUUGUUUAACAUUUGAACAAAAAAAUAAACCUCUAAAAGGGCAGGCAGCUACUUGUCGGAAUUUCAAAAACAUCUGCAAAAGCAUAGGAGAGCGGCAAUGCUUUAGAAUGGUGGUAGAUGUGAUCGAUAAUCCUUUCCGCGAUAAACUCACUUUCUCAUCGGGACCAGUGAAGCUUAAAGAACAUACACAAAGCCAUGUAUUCUAACCACAACAUAUUGCAGUUGUAAGUUGUCCGAAAUCUGUUACUUUGAAUGGAAUAGAAUUUCGAAAAAAUCUGAUUGUAGCCCUGAAAACUCAUCACAAUAUGUUUUUUCCAUCUUACGGUAUAAUACAAGAACUGGUGCAAUUUGAUAACACAGUCUGCCUUUUGCUUCAAACCUGUAAUACCGUCGGUUACGAUGAAUUUCUACAAGCAUAUGCAGUAGAAAUAUUAGCACAAAACAGUUUCUUAAAUUUUCAUGAUGUUGAUCAGCAUACUACAUUUUCCUUAUGGACAGCAGAGAACAAUGAUAAGAAGUUCAUAUCGCGACGAUUUUUCAAUCAAGAUUAUUAGUAUUAUAAGUACUUUACAUUUCACACAAAAUACGACCUAAAAAUAACCAGCCUUUUCCAUUUAGUCCAGUUGCUGAAGGAAUCGAUGACCUUGAAACGUUUUUAGAACUCAAGAAGAGAGAUUUUAUACGGCUAAAAUUGAAAACGAAAACUAUAAAAAAAUUUAACGAAUGCAGAAAGAAUAUUUAAAUAUCAUCAUCGAAGAAAAGUUAGAAAGCAGUUAUUCGAAAAGUUCGUUCAAUGCAAUUAUUGACUCACCUUAUGAAACGGUUGACGAUUCAUCUAACUCUAAUCCAUACAAAGAAAUAUUCCUUGACAAAGUAAGUUAUUAUAUGUGACGGAAAUAUUGAAUGUUUUGAUAUCAUCUGAGAAAAAAAACCGGUACUAAAAUAGAAUAAAUAUUUUAUACGAAUCGCUCUUACCAGAAAUGUUUGCAGAAAUAAGUGCUCUAGUCACUUGUCCUUAAUGCAAUCACUUGUGCCAUUUGAUAAUGUAGAACUUAUUAUAAAUAUGAGGUUUCUAAUUCUUUGACAUAAAUAUUUGUUUUGCAAUGCAUUUGGAAUACAAGUGACGGGGUGGGCGAUACUAUUAUCGAUACUAUCGAUAUCAAAAGUUAGGUGAAACGGCUUGCUGCAUCCUGGAAUCGAUACUUAUCGAUUUUGCUCACUCACCCGUUUUCACACCGGUUGCUAUCGUAUCUGUUUUCCAGCAUAAACCUUUAGCAGCGCUGCUAUCGGGCUGCAAAGUUCGAGAGCACAGUGCUUGCCGGAGGCCCAGCUACUAUUUCUCUAGCGGGUUUAUCAGCGACCGGCACGGUAUGAAGUGAUGAGAGAGCGCUGCCAAACGGGGUAUGGAAGUACACCGUUAAAGAUGCCCUUAUAAUAUAUUAUUAUUAAUCAAUUAAAGGGCGUAAUGUUUGUUUCUUUUAAAACAAAAAAACACCCCAUUCGUCGCAGAAACGGUCGCUAUACAAAUUUCAUGGCGACAAUUUUUGCGACGAACUCGGUGAGUUUUGUUUUUAAAGAAACGGACAAUAACUGUAAAGGAUAACAAAUUGAGCAAGAGAUUUUCCAGUUAUAACUCUAACCCGUUUAUUAUCAUCAAUAUUGACACUAUUUUCGACAAAACUAGAGCUGGAAAAGAAUUAAUGGAAGUUUUAAAAAACGCAAUUAGCCCGGAUGAAUCUUGUUUAAGAACAGUUAAGAAAAUUUUAUGCGAUUAUCUUCGGUUAAAUUAUGGAUUACACCCCUCUGCAUUUUAUAAAAAUCUUCUUGCUCAAUCAUUAGUUAUAUCGUAUCCAACUUUGGCGUCUUCUUCUUCCGAUGUGCCCCAGGCUUUGUGGUUCCACGCAAACGCUCGUGGAAGACACAAGCAUUCCGACCGAUUACAUUACCAUAUGGAAUAUCUUGCGCGAAAAUCAGGCGAAAGGAAGGUUCGGCGAUUUAUAUGAGAGACUCAGUCCGAUACGAUCACUGAUCCUCUUGCGUCCACCCAAACUAUAAUUGAAAAUAUAGAGGAAAUGAGACUAGAACUGAAAUUUUUUUGUCCCAGUCCGAAGACAAAAGAGAGAGCGGUUGAGCUUUGGCAGAUUACAUUUGAUGAGAGAAACGUAAUGCGACAACAAUCGAAAAUAGAUGUUUACAUGAAUGAGUAUCCGGUUUUUUCUGCAUUCAAUGGAUUAAUGGUAAAUUAAUGAAAGGCUGUUUGAAAUAUUGAGUUGGAUUUUACCAUGCUAAUGCCAAGUGCAAAAAAAUUUGCAGAAGAGUUUGAAAGUAUUAAACCGAAAAUACUUCAGAUUUAUCACGAUGCCUAUCUCAACAUUUCGAACGAUGUGCUGAGAACUUUUGCCCUUAUACGCAAACAAAACCCAACCCGAGGAGUGAAGCGCACAAAAGACGCUAUACAAGGAAGAGAAAAUCCUUUGAAAGGAAUCAUUGAACCGUUACAGCCUGAUGAUCCGUUCCCUGCAAACACGAACUUGGACGUACCGGUGCUUUACACUAAACCGAAUUGCGGUACCAUUUUGUGGAAAAAUUGUCGAGUAGACAUAGAUGGGGACAUUUUGAAAAACAUCGAAUUAUUUUUUAAAUUUUAUUAUUUUAUUAAUGUCACAUCGCAAUUGGCUGAUAAGCAAUUUUUUUUAUUUAUAAUGGCAAGAUUGUUUGGCGUUGGAAAUUUUUCCACCACAGGAGAGAAGUUUAUUAGAAGCCUGCAGUAAAAAGCCCAUAUUCAUUAAAA